rnacentral:rRNA from 1 species
UCUUGGUCCAUUAGAGGAAGUAAAAGUCGUAACAAGGUUUCCGUAGGUGAACCUGCGGAAGGAUCAUUAUUGAAAUAAACCUGAUGGGUUGUUGCUGGCUCUCUAGGGAGCAUGUGCACACCUUGUCAUCUUUAUAUCUCCACCUGUGCACCUUUUGUAGACCUUUCAGGUCUAUGUUGCUUCAUUUACCCCAAUGUAUGUUAAUAGAAUGUUGUGCCUAUAUUAAUAUAUACAACUUUCAGCAACGGAUCUCUUGGCUCUCGCAUCGAUGAAGAACGCAGCGAAAUGCGAUAAGUAAUGUGAAUUGCAGAAUUCAGUGAAUCAUCGAAUCUUUGAACGCACCUUGCGCUCCUUGGUAUUCCGAGGAGCAUGCCUGUUUGAGUGUCAUUAAUAUAUCAACCUUCUCUUUUUGAGCGGUUUGGAUGUGGGGGUUUGCUGUGGCCUCUUAAAAAGGUCUUGGCUCUCCUGAAAUACAUUAGCGGAACAACCCUGUUCAUUGGUGUGAUAACUAUCUACGCUAUUGAAUGUGAAGGGCAGUUUGGCUUUCUAACAGUCCUUGGACAGCUCAUCAUUAAUGUGACCUCAAAUCAGGUAGGACUACCCGCUGAACUUAAGCAUAUCAUA